rnacentral:rRNA from 1 species
CCCCGCGAAGAAGGGUGUUUUUUAAACAAACAACCACCCCCCUUGUUUUUGAAUCACCUCCCCGUGGGGGGAGAAAAUUUUUUCGUUUUGUGAGAAAGCCGCCCGCCGCCCUUUUUACACUUUUUGUUGGGGGGGUAGUGCCUCCCACAGAGCGGAAACGGGGUUAACGCCCUCUAGAGAGGUGCCCGCGCCCCACUGGGAACUGGAAUUUCGGCCCCAGAUCUCCUAGGGAGGCCACCCAUGGGGGAUAUUUGCCCAAUGGGGCCAAAGCCUUAUGCAAGGACCCCCGCUUGGGGGAUGACGGCCUUUCGGGUUGUAAACCCCUUUCCCCCAGGGACGAAGAGAGAUUGACGGUACCUGGAGAAGAAGGACCGCCCAACUACGUGCCAGCAGCCGCGGUAAUACGUAGGGUCCGAGCGUUGUCCGGAAUUACUGGGCGUAAAGAGCUCGUAGGUGGUUUGUCGCGUUGUUCGUGAAAACUCACAGCUUAACUGUGGGCGUGCGGGCGAUACGGGCAGACUGGAGUACUGCAGGGGAGACUGGAAUUCCUGGUGUAGCGGUGGAAUGCGCAGAUAUCAGGAGGAACACCGGUGGCGAAGGCGGGUCUCUGGGCAGUAACUGACGCUGAGGAGCGAAAGCGUGGGGAGCGAACAGGAUUAGAUACCCUGGUAGUCCACGCCGUAAACGGUGGGUACUAGGUGUGGGUUUCCUUCCUUGGGAUCCGUGCCGUAGCUAACGCAUUAAGUACCCCGCCUGGGGAGUACGGCCGCAAGGCUAAAACUCAAAGGAAUUGACGGGGGCCCGCACAAGCGGCGGAGCAUGUGGAUUAAUUCGAUGCAACGCGAAGAACCUUACCUGGGUUUGACAUGCACAGGACGCCGGCAGAGAUGUCGGUUCCCUUGUGGCCUGUGUGCAGGUGGUGCAUGGCUGUCGUCAGCUCGUGUCGUGAGAUGUUGGGUUAAGUCCCGCAACGAGCGCAACCCUUGUCUCAUGUUGCCAGCACGUUAUGGUGGGGACUCGUGAGAGGCUGCCGGGGUCAACUCGGAGGAAGGUGGGGAUGACGUCAAGUCAUCAUGCCCCUUAUGUCCAGGGCUUCACACAUGCUACAAUGGCCGGUACAAAGGGCUGCGAUGCCGUGAGGUGGAGCGAAUCCUUUCAAAGCCGGUCUCAGUUCGGAUCGGGGUCUGCAACUCGACCCCGUGAAGUCGGAGUCGCUAGUAAUCGCAGAUCAGCAACGCUGCGGUGAAUACGUUCCCGGGCCUUGUACGCACCGCCCGUCACGUCAUGAAAGUCGGUAACACCCGAAGCCGGUGGCCUAACCCCUUGUGGGAGGGAGCCGUCGAAGGUGGGAUCGGCGAUUGGGACGAAGUCGUAACAAGGUAGCCGUCGAAUAGCAUUCUACGCCCACGCCACGGCCACGGGGACCUGCCGACAUCUGGCCUCAAUUCGCUCCUCUAGUGACUCGAUAUACGAAUUCAACUGCCCUGUC